CGUUGGAUCAGUUUCGUAUAACCACAAACCUUUUUCUUAUCUAAGAGAAUACAAAUUAAUCGAACAAAAGCACAGACCUUAGACAACGGAUGUCUUGGCUCCCCAUACGAUGAAGAACAUGGCAUAAUGUGAUAAGUGGCUGGAGUUGCGCACAUCGUGACAAGUUCAAUCUUUGAAUGCACAUUGCGCUCGAUGUCUCUCGGGAUAUCGAGCAUGAUGCAUCCAGGAACCUAUUGAUUGGAAAUCUUCUUUAUAAGGAGAGAACAACAAUAAGAAAGACUGGGUUCUGGCUGUAUCAGGAUUACCCGCUGAACUGAAGCAUCUCAUUAAGCGGAGGAAAAGAAACUAACUAGGAUUCCUUCAGUAAAGGCGAUCGAAGAAGGAAAAGCUCGUCACCAAAGCUCUUUGGAGCGAUGUGGUGAGGAAAUCACUGGAUAAGCGAAAGGGUGUUGAAUCACACACGAUACAGAGUUAAAGUCUCGUUAGCAUAUCUAGAUUUGGUUUCCGGAAAAGAGUCGGGUAGCUUGAGAUUGCUGCCUCAACUGGGUGGUAUGACACAUCCAAAGCUAAAUAUCAUGGGGAGACCGAUAGCGUACAAGUAGUGUGAACGAAGGAUGAAAAGUACUCCAAGACGGAGUGUGAAAAGUCCCUGAACUUGUCUAGGGUAAGGCAUUUUAUAUGCGCCCGUCUUGAAACACGGAUUAGGGAGUUUAACGGAUGUGCGUUUUUCCUAAGAAAAGCGAAAGCGACUUCUAACGAAGCGUUAGAGCACAUGCGCUAGAACCCGAAUGGUGGUGAACUAUGCCUGCACAGGAUGAAGUCAGGGGAAACUCUGAUGGAGGUCCGUCGCGUUAUUGAUGUGCAAAUCAUUCGUUAGAUGUAGGUAUAGGUGCGAAAGACUCAUCGAACCACCUAAUAGCUGGUUUCCUC
rnacentral:misc_RNA from 1 species